ACCCAGUGCCAGACACGUGCUGGUCAGUAGUAUCAGUCCUUCACUCACCAGACAAAUGUGUAUCGCACUGUUAAGAUGCACCAGACAGAGUUCUUGGUGCUGGGAUCGCAACGGUGAGCAGAAGGACAGAGGUUCCCGCCCUCCUGGAGCACACACUGAGACGUGAGACAACUGUGGUCUGGGAGCAGGCAUCCCCCCGAAGCUACCCUCAAGGACAAGCAGCACCCUCAGGACCGGUGCCCGGUGAUCUCUACCUCCCCUGCCCUGUGGAGGCUCCCUGGGCCACAUGGAGCUUCCCGGAGUGUCCUUUGCACCCAAUGCCAAGGAGCAUUUGUGUCUACCCUGUUCGACAUUGGGCCUGUCUCGGGAGGAAGCUCACGGACCGUUUGGGGAGAAAUUUGGGGAACUGAAACCUUUACCCUCUCUGGCCUCUCCCUCCACUCUGUCUACAUUAACUGUUGUGUCUCAUUGCAAGUUAAAGGCCAAGUUCCUGUUUGCAUCUCUAUCAGUUACCGUCCUGUGUGUUACAUCAGAAACCUCAGUCGAGCUGGUCUACACAACUAAAGGAGUAUGCUAGCUUUUGUGACUGAUGGGUCUCGAAGUCACGAGGGCCUCAGGUAUGGGUGCCUCAAGGACUCGGCUCCAUUGCCAGAGAGUUCCCCUGGGAUUUCUCUUCCCUCCUCUGGGCCUUUGUCAGCUUCCUCCUUGUCUGACUUUCCUCGUCGCAACAAAAUGGCUGCAGUGUUCUCGGCGUCCCAUUGGAGCACCCACUUCACAGAGGAAGAGAAGCCUUCUCUCCUCCCCAUUAUGGACUACAUGUUCUGGCCCUGUUUAGUCCAAGUGCUCAUCCCUGAGCCUAUCACCAGGCAAGAGGAAUGGGUCUCCAUAGCCCACCCUAAGAAUGAAGUCGUCAUGUUUUCUACCAAGUCUAUGGCAACGUCCUCUCUCUAGUAACACUCAUCCCACCUACCCGCACCCCCCUUCUCCCUGCUAAGAUCCCAAGGACGGUUAGGCCCCUUCCGGAGACCAAGGUGUAAAUCUUGAUUUGUAGAGCCAUGUAAUCCUCUUCACUAACAGUUGGUUUCAAAAUGGCCGUAAGCCUUGGUUCUAGCUAAUUAGUUGCAAGCAAAAAUCUGCUGGGUGGGUCUUCUAGGAAAACUCUUGCCUUUCUGAUAUAAAGAACAGAUGUGGCUGGCAUGACCCUUGCCCCAUUACCAUUCCAUCUUCAUCAAACCCAGAAUGAAGA